UUAGCAACUGCAAAGAUUGUUUGCAAAUGCCGUCACUAGGGAAUAUGCCAUCUCUUGAAGUUCUCGAAAUAGAAGGGCUUUCUAGAGUAACAAGAUUGGGCGUGGAGUUCUAUGGGACGCACUGUCUGAAGACUUUGAAAUUUAACAGGAUGCUUGCAUGGGAGGAAUGGGAAACUGACGAAAUUGGAGAUGGAAAAUUUCCUUGUCUGGAUGAGCUUCUAAUAAUCAACUGUCCUAAUCUGAAGGGCCAUGUACCAAAGAGCCUUCCUUCCCUGACAAAACUGGUGAUUUCAAAUUGUCCCAAACUUGUUGAUUCACUUCGUCUGCAAAAGACUUCAGCAAAAUGUGAUAUCUUCAUAGAUGAUAAGAAGAUACAACAUAGAAGUGAAGAUGAAGAUCCCUUACCAGUCUACCCUGAAAAAGGUGUGAUUUCAAGCUGCGCACAAGAAUUUCAGACUGCUUCAGAAAGCCCUACGCAUGUUGCCUCACAAUCCUCCUUACAAACGACAAGAGCCACAGACGUAGACGUUGCACAUCAAGCUGAUGAUCAGGCCAAAGCAUUCGACUCUUUCCUUUGGAUUUCAGAAUAUUCAGAUAAUAGACAAUUGGAGAAACAAUCACAUGUAACGGAUAUUUCAAGUCGCUCGGAAAAAGUUGGUUCUCAGACUGCCUUGGAUAGUACUAAACAGGCUGUUGACCUGCAAUCUGCUGUCCAUACUAGUGCAACUGCAACUAUUACACACCAAGCUGAUGAUCAAGCCAAGGUAUUCGACUCUUCCCCAGGGAGUUCAAAAGAUGACACACGGUUAAAGAAAUUGCCACAGACGACUGAGAUUUCAAGCCUCCCAGAAAAAUUUGCUUCUGAGACUACCCUAGGUUCUACGUCACAUGAUGUUGCUCUGCAGUUCUCUCCGCUAAUGACUAAAAUGGCGGCUGACAGUAGUACAUAUCAAGCUGAUAUAGGGGUCAAGCCAUUUCUCAGCCAUGAUGGAAUGCAACACCAGUACUCUUCCCCUGGAAUUUUGAAAGUUUCAGAUAUUGCGGAAUUAAGCAAAUUGCCAACUGACCUACACAGCCUCAGAAUUGAAGGAUGCGACACCUUGGAGUCCUUUCGUUCGCAAAUUCUCAGCAGCAACCCUUUUCUUCAACAUUUAUAUGUCAUUGAUUGUGGUUCUCUUAUUUCCUUUGCUGAAGGUGCUCAUCCUACCGCCUUGAAGACACUACAUUUCCGAAACUGCAGGAAGUUAAACUUUCUUUUCACUUCAGAGAUGUUGCAUCAAUUUGCAGAUUUGGAACAUUUGUGCAUAGGGAGCAGCUGUGAUUCUCUCGAGUCCUUCCCCUUAGACUUCUUUCCAAAGCUUAAAAUUCUGUGUCUCUGGGACUGCAUGAAUCUCAACUCCCUUUCAAUUCAGAAGGCAAUCAGUCUAGAGUCACUUGACGCCUUGGAAAUCAGGGAUUGCCCGAAUCUGGUAUCUUUCCCAUCAGGAGGAUUGCUCGCCCCCAACUUGACGUCAGCUUUCUUCUCUAAUUGCAAGAAUCUCAAGUCCCUACCCAGACAAAUGUGGCGCCUGGAAUCUCUUCAGUCGCUAUUUAUAAGUAAUUGUCCAGAACUUGAAUCACUUCCAAAUGAUGAUUUGCCUGCCCGCCUAAAUUUAUUUUGCAUUACAUCUUGCGACAAAAUCACUCUCAGGAAAGAAUUGGAACUGAAUAGACUUGAUGCUCUAAGUCAUUUAGAGAUUGAAGGUGGAUGUGUGAAUAUAGAGUCAUUUCCGGAGAAGGGGCUGCUGCCUGCCAAUCUUAUUUCACUUCGCAUCAGCAGGCUUCUGAAUCUCAAAUUUCUGGACCAAGAGGGGCUUCAACAACUCACUUUUCUUGAAAAGCUGGAAAUUAACUGCUGCAAAAGGCUCCGUUCCUUGCCAGAAAAGCUACCUAACUCUUUAUCUUCUAUAAGUAUCAAAGAAUGUCCUCUGCUGAAAGCAAGACUCCGGAAUAAGAGGGGAACAGAUUGGUCCAGAAUUGCUCACAUUCCUAGCAUAUUUGUUGAUGAGGAAGAAUCUCAUUAGCAUCUUAGAACAUAUGAUAUGCUGCAGUCAUAAGGAGUGCAAGGGAAAGAAAAUAUUGCAUUCAGAACAUAAUAGCAGCUUUCUUGUAGUUCUGUUUUUUCAAUGAAGAUUUCCAACUGCAAAUUUCCUUUAUGUAAAAGUUUUUAGAUGGGUCUUGAGCAUUAAAGCAUGUUAGUACAAGGAUGAGAGCUUUGUUGUACCUGUAAAAAUAUGUAUAUUUAGGCAAACUCCAUAGGUGGAUUAAUCCACAAAAAUCAUCCUAUUUGAUUGUCCUGUUUAUAAUUUAUCUUGAACUUCAUCUUCCUUGUCUGAUUUAUUUUGGCCAUACUGCACCUUUGCCAACGAGUCUUCUUCAUGGGUAGAGGCAUUAAUGUUGGCUGAUCACCAUCAGGAAGAACCUCCGCUAAUCCAGAUUCAAGAGAUUUUUCGCUAUGUAGUCAUAUAUGAGAAUUUUUAUUUGAUACAACCGAUUUAUAGACAACG
rnacentral:misc_RNA from 1 species